UGGAGAUGCAGCCCUGUUGGAAU
rnacentral:miRNA from 2 species